rnacentral:rRNA from 1 species
CGAGUGGGGAAUAACUUCGGGAAACCGAGGCUAAUACCGCAUAAUACCCACGGGUCAAAGGAGCAAUUCGCUUGAGGAGGAGGUCGCGGCCGAUUAGUUAGUUGGCGGGGUAAUGGCCCCACCAAGACGGUGAUCGGUAUCCGGCCUGAGAGGGCGCACGGACACACUGGAACUGAAACACGGUCCAGACUCCUACGGGAGGCAGCAGUGGGGAAUUUUGCGCAAUGGGGGAAACCCUGACGCAGCAACGCCGCGUGGAGGAUGAAGUCUCUUGGGACGUAAACUCCUUUCGAUCGGGACGAUUAUGACGGUACCGGAAGAAGAAGCCCCGGCUAACUCCGUG